AGAGCAUAUCCAACAGGGAAGUGCCUCUCAGCAAAAUGUCCCACCUGGUACGAUUAUAGAUGUGGAUAUUGUUCAUCCAACUCACACAGAGUUCAUUAUUGUUCCUCAUAAAUCUAUCAUGGUUUGUAAAUUUUGUUCAUGUUUUUCUCAAACUUUCAAUGAGUAUGACGUCUCGCUUGCUUAAAUGAAGCGUAGGUAUUGGAUAUGUGCUCCAAAUGAGGCAUUUUUGGUAAGCAGAACUGGCACUGUGGGAUGAACCAAACGUUGAGUUAAAGUGCCAAAUUUUUCGCUCAUGAGAGACCCCUUUAAUACUGAUGUUUCUUAUGAAUACAAUUGGCUUUAUUAGAGAUAACUUCUGGCUUGAUAACUGCCGAAUGUCUUUUUGGAACUUAGU
rnacentral:ncRNA from 1 species